rnacentral:miRNA from 1 species
CUUAACCCACUUGUGAACAAUG